AUCCAACCGAUGAAUCCCAAAUAGGACGAAAUGAGCGUCCUGGAU
rfam:Schistosoma mattheei strain Denwood, Zambia genome assembly, scaffold: SMTD_contig0012104